rnacentral:tRNA from 1 species
CGGGGUGUAGCGCAGUUUGGUAGCGCGCACGGUUCGGGACCGUGGUGUCGGAGGUUCAAAUCCUCUCACCCCGAUAG